UACGUAGGGGGCUAGCGUUGUCCGGAUUUAUUGGGCGUAAAGAGCGUGUAGGCGGCCAAGUAGGUCCGGUGUGAAAACUCGAGGCUCAACCUCGAGACGCCGAUGGAAACCGUAUGGCUAGAGUCCGGAAGAGGAGAGCGGAAUUCCUGGUGUAGCGGUGAAAUGCGCAGAUAUCAGGAAGAACACCCGUGGCGAAGGCGGCUCUCUGGGACGGUACUGACGCUGAGACGCGAAAGCGUGGGGAGCGAACAGG
rnacentral:rRNA from 1 species